UGGGGAAUUUUGGACAAUGGGGGCAACCCUGAUCCAGCCAUGCCGCGUGAGUGAAGAAGGCCUUCGGGUUGUAAAGCUCUUUCAGCCGGGAAGAAAACGCAUGGGUCAAUACCCUGUGUGGAUGACGGUACCGGAAUAAGAAGCACCGGCUAACUACGUGCCAGCAGCCGCGGUAAUACGUAGGGUGCGAGCGUUAAUCGGAAUUACUGGGCGUAAAGCGUGCGCAGGCGGUUUUGUAAGACAGGCGUGAAAUCCCCGGGCGUAACCUGGGAACUGCGUUUGUGACUGCAAGGCUAGAGUACGGCAGAGGGGGGUGGAAUUCCACGUGUAGCAGUGAAAUGCGUAGAGAUGUGGAGGAACACCAAUGGCGAAGGUAGCCCCCUGGGUCGAUACUGACGCUCAUGCACGAAAGCGUGGGUAGCAAACA
rnacentral:rRNA from 1 species